rnacentral:rRNA from 1 species
GACGAACGCUGGCGGCGUGCUUAACACAUGCAAGUCGAACGGAAAGGCCUUUUCGGUGGUACUCGAGUGGCGAACGGGUGAGUAACACGUGGGUGAUCUGCCCUGCACUCUGGGAUAAGCCUGGGAAACUGGGUCUAAUACCGGAUAGGACCGCACCUUAGUGUGUGUGGUGGAAAGUUUUUUCGGUGUAGGAUGAGCCCGCGGCCUAUCAGCUUGUUGGUGGGGUAAUGGCCUACCAAGGCGGCGACGGGUAGCCGGACUGAGAGGUUGGUCGGCCACAUUGGGACUGAGAUACGGCCCAGACUCCUACGGGAGGCAGCAGGGGGGAAUAUUGCACAAUGGGCGCAAGCCUGAUGCAGCGACGCCGCGUGGGGGAUGACGGCCUUCGGGUUGUAAACUCCUUUCGCCAGGGACGAAGCGUUUUGUGACGGUACCUGGAGAAGAAGCACCGGCUAACUACGUG